rnacentral:lncRNA from 1 species
GAACUCGAACACUCUUAUCGAUCAAGGAAAGAAACGGAAACUACUUUCAUAUAUAUAUUAGUUUUUUUUAAUAUUUUGGUUUAGUUCCAAAACAAGAUGAAGCAGAUCCUUUGUUUUUCAGUCACUGAAUGUUCCAUACAGGUCUGCGAGCUACAGAGAAAUGAAGCAGUAGCUCGUUUGGUGAACGUAAGGUCUGGUAGUCGUUGUAGGAGUGGAGUCGCGAUGGGGAUGGGUGGUCGACGGUAGUGGUUGGUUUGGUUUCUAUUGAGUGAUGGCUGAUGGUGUUCUCUCGUGUAUUA